rnacentral:rRNA from 1 species
UGGGGAAUAUUGGACAAUGGGGGCAAUCCUGUCUCAGCAAUGCCGGUUGAGUGAUAAAGGCUUCAGGGUGUUAAACACCUUUCGCACGCGACGAUAAUGACUGUAGUUCGAGAAGAAGUCUCGGCUAACUACGUGCCAGCAGCCGCGGUAACACGUAGGGGGCGAACGUUAUUCGGAUUUACUGGGCGUAAAGCGCGCGUAGGUGGUUCGGUCAGUAAGACGUGAAAGCUCCGGGCUCAACCUGGAGACUGCAUUUGAUACUGUCGAGCUUGAGUAUCGGAGAGGGAGGUGGAAUUCCGGGUGUAGAGGUGGAAUGCGUAGAUAUUGGGAGGAACACCGGUGGCGAAGGCGGCCAUCUGGACCAUUACUGACGCUGAGACGCGAAAGCUAGGGGAGCAAACG